rnacentral:lncRNA from 1 species
UAACAUUUGGAGAGUUUUGGGAGGUACUUAAUUAGUGAUGUGCAGGCAUUAAGCAGAUCACAAGAUUCCAUUCAUAUUCACCUAUCAAGAGCUCAUGUGAAAGGAUUCAAGGAUAAUGAUCACCUUUGACAUCUAUUUCUAAACCACAAUAUUGGAAGUAACUGGCACCACAACCGGAAUAGACAAAUAUGGUUCCAUGCCCAUCAAUGCAUUCCCAACCUCUGAUUCACCCCCAGCCUCAUGGCCAAAAUACCGGCUCCGAAGCUCCUUUGCCUUGUUAAGAAGGUAUGAUGCAGGCGAACAAUUAAUCUCUGGCCAGCAACAGCUUCACUCUCUUCAAGCAUCGAAUCGAACACUCGUGCUUCCGAGCCUUGGCUUGGACGAAUGCAUGAUCUUGUGAAUUCCGGUGGUGAGGCAGGAGGAAGGCGGAGGCAUCGACGGAAACCACGGUGUCGUCGGCCACCUUACGAGCAGCCGAUGAUCGGAAUGUGCAGGUACCGGCCGGGUGAGCUGCCAUUUGCGUGUGGUUUUGGUGUGGCGAGGUGGGGUGUGGUGGUGAGCUUUUUAAAGAGUGGAAGGGUGAAGGAAGGGGGCAAUUAGGGUCAUUAGCUUUGAGCCGAUGACUGUAGAGCCCACAUAAUGUGUAGGGCCAUGACGUGAUUGACGUGGUUAGUUUUGUCA